GUCCUAGUCUCAACCAUAAACGAUGCCGACCAGGGAUCGGCGGAUGUUGCUUUUAGGACUCCGCCGGCACCUUAUGAGAAAUCAAAGUCUUUGGGUUCCGGGGGGAGUAUGGUCGCAAGGCUGAAACUUAAAGGAAUUGACGGAAGGGCACCACCAGGAGUGGAGCCUGCGGCUUAAUUUGACUCAACACGGGGAAACUUACCAGGUCCAGACAUAGUAAGGAUUGACAGACUGAGAGCUCUUUCUUUUUUUUUUGAUCAAAUGUAAAAAUUUCAUAUAAGGAUCAAAGAGUUACACAAAUUUCAGGGGCAUACCCCAUCUUUACACAAUUACAAUUCAGCACCGUACCUAAGGGAAAUAUGACAUUUACAUCCCUGUGUCAUAAUUCAGGGCAUACCCCGGAAUUAUAAAAAAUCACAA
rnacentral:ncRNA from 1 species